CUCUUAUUUUACAGUUGAGAAAAUGGAGACGAGAGAAAAUAGGCUUUCUUCUCUUUUCUGGUUCAUGCCAAAUGCUCAUUGCCCUGUGCCCUCCAAGUUCACAAAUCAUUGACAACACAGCAGAACUGUGAAGAAAACUGCUGAGCCAUGGACAUGAAUUCAGAACACUCAAGCUUGAACCCACUUCUAUGCAUUCCACCAUCUUUGGGCCAGGCACGACUUCAUACCAUCUUCAGAAAUUGAAGUUUAACAGGAAUUCUCCAUGAAACACAUCAGGAAGCUGCUCAGGGUAUUGCUCUGAAAAGGCUGUGCUUGUCCGUAGAGCUAGGAUGGAUUUCUCAAUAGCAUUACCUAGGGAACACCACACAGACACCAAUGCUAUAGAUCUUCAGUCACACUCCAUCCUCAGCUGUUCCUCUCCUAUUGGUGAUCCUUAGGCAGGAGUAUGAGGUACAAGGGGCACAUACCAUAUAAAAAACAGUCCUUGCCCACAAACCUGAGCCUUUGUCUUGAGUUUGGUUGACUGGUCUUGAGUUUGGGCCCUUCCUUUUCAAGAAAUCCCUGGGAUUAGAUCUUUUCCCAAAGUGAUCCACUUUCUUCAUAU